GGACUACCGGGGUAUCUAAUCCUGUUUGCUCCCCACGCUUUCGUGCCUGAACGUCGGUGUCGGACCAGGAAGCCGCUUUCGCCACUGGUGUUCCUUCCGAUAUCUACGCAUUUCACCGCUACACCGGAAAUUCCGCUUCCCUCUUCCGCACCCAAGCAAUGCAGUCUCGAAUGCAAUUCCCAGGUUGAGCCCGGGGCUUUCACACCCGACUUACAUUACCGUCUACGCACGCUUUACGCCCAGUAAUUCCGAUUAACGCUCGCACCCUCUGUAUUACCGCGGCUGCUGGCAC
rnacentral:rRNA from 1 species